UUGACCUCGGAUCAGGUAGGGAUACCCGCUGAACUUUAAGCAUAUC
rnacentral:rRNA from 1 species